rnacentral:rRNA from 1 species
AGAGUUUGAUCCUGGCUCAGAUUGAACGCUGGCGGCAGGCCUAACACAUGCAAGUCGAGCGGUAACAGAUCCAGCUUGCUGGAUGCUGACGAGCGGCGGACGGGUGAGUAAUGCAUAGGAAUCUGCCCGAUAGUGGGGGAUAACCUGGGGAAACCCAGGCUAAUACCGCAUACGUCCUACGGGAGAAAGGGGGCUCCGGCUCCCGCUAUGGGAUGAGCCUAUGUCGGAUUAGCUAGUUGGUGAGGUAACGGCUCACCAAGGCCGCGAUCCGUAGCUGGUCUGAGAGGAUGAUCAGCCACAUCGGGACUGAGACACGGCCCGAACUCCUACGGGAGGCAGCAGUGGGGAAUAUUGGACAAUGGGGGCAACCCUGAUCCAGCCAUGCCGCGUGUGUGAAGAAGGCCCUCGGGUUGUAAAGCACUUUCAGCGAGGAAGAACGCCUAGCGGUUAAUACCCGCUAGGAAAGACAUCACUCGCAGAAGAAGCACCGGCUAACUCCGUGCCAGCAGCCGCGGUAAUACGGAGGGUGCGAGCGUUAAUCGGAAUUACUGGGCGUAAAGCGCGCGUAGGUGGCUUGAUAAGCCGGUUGUGAAAGCCCCGGGCUCAACCUGGGAACGGCAUCCGGAACUGUCAAGCUAGAGUGCAGGAGAGGAAGGUAGAAUUCCCGGUGUAGCGGUGAAAUGCGUAGAGAUCGGGAGGAAUACCAGUGGCGAAAGGCGGCCUUCUGGACUGACACUGACACUGAGGUGCGAAAGCGUGGGUAGCAAACAGGAUUAGAUACCCUGGUAGUCCACGCCGUAAACGAUGUCGACCAGCCGUUGGGUGCCUAGCGCACUUUGUGGCGAAGUU